rnacentral:lncRNA from 1 species
AACGAAAGUAAAAGCAAGGACGCCAUUUUCAGGGUUUAAACACUUUAACAAAGGGUAUAAACGCUAAGCGUAUUUCGUGAAAGUAGGAGAGCAGUGCCUCCAAAAUGAGUUUCCAUGAGGAAAGAGAGAAUGAAGACACUAUGUCUGAAGCGAGCUCUUCAUCUCCUGGAUCAGGCCACACAUCUCUAAGUGAUGAAUCCAUACAAAAGCUUCCCCCUGCAAUCAGUGAUGCAGUGACCUCUGACCCCUGCGUCAGCAGGAGGAAGACAUCGAGAGCAGAGUCUCCAGAACCCAGCUGUGUGUCUGUGAAGAGUAACAGAUCCAUGCAGAAUCGACCCCCUGUUUUCUGUGAUGGACCAGUGACCUCUGAUCCUCUGUUAGUAUAAACAUUCACUUGCUAAUUUACUCUAGUGCAUCUCAGAAGAAUAACAAU